rnacentral:rRNA from 1 species
UACGUAGGGGGCAAGCGUUGUCCGGAUUCAUUGGGCGUAAAGAGCGUGUAGGCGGCCAGGUAGGUCCGUUGUGAAAACUCGAGGCUCAACCUCGAGACGUCGAUGGAAACCAUCUGGCUAGAGUCCGGAAGAGGAGAGUGGAAUUCCUGGUGUAGCGGUGAAAUGCGCAGAUAUCGGGAGGAACACCGGUGGCGAAGGCGGCCCCCUGGUUGGAUACUGACGCUGAGACGCGAAAGCGUGGGGAGCAAACAGG